CCGCAGAGGAAGCCAGGCAAGCUCGGCGGCGGGAAGCCUGCCGCUCACUCUGCACCUGGGUGCCCGGAGCCCAGCUCAGACACCUGCACAAACUGGUUUAUGACGCCGGGAAUUAAUGGUGUUUAAUGAUGACCAAGGAGAGAUAUGGAAAAGGAGCCAGUGCCCAUCCCCCCCCCCAUCUCGCAAACCUAAAGGAGACCUGAGCUGGUGUGUGGAGCUCUACACUGGAUGUGAGUCGGGAGUUAGCUGCCUUCGCGCCUUGUUAAAACCGAGGACCACAUUUGCUGAUGUCCAGACUUUUCAGACCUUUUCUCUCUUUCUUUCCCUAGAAGACCCACCCGGCUUCUUGCAGGUAAAACCAUCACUUUCAAGAACAGAGGAAUGCCAGCGGGAUGGGCGUGUGGCCGUUAUGAUGUCACCCAUCUUCGGAGACAAGACCUUGCCGAGCCGUCGCCCCCUGCUGGCCAUUAUGACAACCCGCGAUGACACCCCAGACCAGUCUCGGGUGAAAGCCUGA
rnacentral:lncRNA from 1 species